UGGGGGAUGUCAGGGACAGAGAAAACAACUUGUUUUCCAGGUGGUGAGCGGGGUAAGUGAACUACAAUAGAGCUGACGACACGCUGUGUCUGAACGAGGACGCAGUGCAGGGCGUCAAAUGAGUGGAAGCCAAGACGCCCAUCGGAACCGUGUCCUCCCUUUGUCUUCUGUCCUUCCCCUGAAAGGUGUGGGGGGACCCGUAUCACGCGGAUCGGAGGUGGCGGGGCCGUGGGGGCUGUGGCGCCCCUGAGGCGAAGGCGGAGGCGCCAAGACGCCGCUCCUUGCCUUUCAGGAUGCCAGCGGGGUACAAGCAAGGUCGCGGGCAAGGCCGCACGGCGGCUCGGAGCUCCAAGGUGGGGCACGAAGGAAGCGAAGACUGCCGGCCGGAGGGCCAAGGCGCGGGCGGCGCCAGGCGGGCGGGGCGCGCGGAGCGCUGCUCUCGUGGGAGAAAGGAACCUCUGCAGAGGCGGCUCGGGCCGCCGCCGGAAGGCUGGGGGCCGGGGGCCCCGAGCGACCUAGCCGCCGAGGCGUUGUCAGCCUCUGCGCAUCCGUGGCCACGUGACCGUGACUCAACAGGCGCCGCCUUCCGGGUCUCAGGCCGGGUAGUGCAAGGCAGCGGAGGGAAAGUGGAAAGACUGCUCGAGGUGCGGGGAUGGGCGUUUAUCUCGGCCCCACCAACCCCCCUCCUCCGUCCAGCUCGGCCAACUGGGAGGCUGCCAAGUGCGCGCCAGCCGGGCUCGCCCGGGACGCGCCCAGCCCGCGUCUGCGACGUGGAAAACCUAGAGAGCCCUAAACAUCAGGGCUAAUCUGGGGUUCUUUGAGGAAAGCCGCAGGGAGCUUCGAGGCCCCGGGGAGUUUUCGCGGACUCGCCUGACCGCGUGGGGGGAUGCAUUGCGGAAGACUGCAGCCUGGAAAGUGAUCACGCCCUUUUGGCAGCUGUCGAUGCUUGUGUACGUGGCUCCUGCCGUGGGGAACUGUGGCUGUGACAGCCUGCACAGGAGGGAGGGACGAAAGAGUGAGGCCUUGACCCAUCCCCUGUGCCCAGGGAGUCCCGAAGGCACUGGUAUUUUUCAGAUGAAACUCCCAGACCCACCAGGAAAUCCUCGAGGCUUUCUGUGAAUGUGAGAUUUGUCGUGCAGCAGGUUCCAGAUGGUCCCCCGUUAAGACUUUUGGAAAUCGAAAUUGGCUUAUCGAAAAUUUCCUCUGAUCCUGCUACUGCAUUGAAUAGACCCAGACACACCGCCCUAUCUGUGCUCUUUUGUCUUUUGCUGAUGGAGCUUCUGUGAAGGGCAAAUUCAAAGUACAACUGACUACCACAGCAAAGGGAGAGGAAAAUGGUGGUUGUGUUUCUGAGGGGUCCUGGGCAGCUAAGCCUUUAACUCUUGAGGUAGCAGUGCCAGUCACAGCUACUUGCUGGCCUAAGGCAGAGGAAGCAGUAGUUAGACCAGAGCAAAUCAAAUCAAACCAAAUAAAGCCAAACAAAAAUGGCAUCGGGGGGUGAGGGGAGAGGGAGAGAGAAGAGAGGGAAUGAAAACGAG
ensembl:lncRNA